rnacentral:rRNA from 1 species
CCUACGGGAGGCAGCAGUGGGGAAUAUUGGGCAAUGGGCGCAAGCCUGACCCAGCAACGCCGCGUGAAGGAAGAAGGCUUUCGGGUUGUAAACUUCUUUUCUCAGGGACGAAGCAAGUGACGGUACCUGAGGAAUAAGCCACGGCUAACUACUUCCCAGCAGCCGCGUUAAUACGUAGGUGGCAAGCUUUAUCCGGAUUUACGGGGUGUAAGGGUCGUGUAGGCGGGUACGCAAGUAAGAUGUGAAAACCAUGGGCUCAACCUGUGGCCUGCAUUUGAAACUGUGUUGCUUGAGUACUGGAGAGGCAGACGGAAUUCCUAGUGUAGCGGUGAAAUGCGUAGAUAUUAGGAGGAACACCAGUGGCGAAGGCGGUCUGCUGGACAGCAACUGACGCUGAGGCGCGAAAGCGUGGGGAGCAAACAGGAUUAGAUACCCGGGUAGUC